AGCCCGUUGGUGUAAGGCAGCACACCCUGUUGACAGGAGACGGAUUGAUGAAGUCACUUGAGGAGAGGUUGCAAGGUUCGAGUCCUUGACGGGCACA
rnacentral:tRNA from 1 species